GCUCCCGUGGUCUAGCGGGUUAUGACGUUGUUCUUAUAAUGCGAAGGUCGCGAGUUCGAUCCUCGCCGGGAGCA
rnacentral:tRNA from 2 species